GAUGAACGCUGGCGGCGUGCCUAAUACAUGCAAGUCGAGCGAACAGACGAGGAGCUUGCUCCUCUGACGUUAGCGGCGGACGGGUGAGUAACACGUGGAUAACCUACCUAUAAGACUGGGAUAACUUCGGGAAACCGGAGCUAAUACCGGAUAAUAUAUUGAACCGCAUGGUUCAAUAGUGAAAGACGGUUUUGCUGUCACUUAUAGAUGGAUCCGCGCCGCAUUAGCUAGUUGGUAAGGUAACGGCUUACCAAGGCAACGAUGCGUAGCCGACCUGAGAGGGGGGUAGGCCCCACCGGAACGGGGACACCGUCCCGAGUCCCAAGGGAGGGAGGAGGAGGGAAUCUUCCGCAAUGGGGGGAAAGCUGGCGGAAGAAACGCGCGGGAGUUAAUGAGGGUCUGCGAUCGGAAAAACCUUUUUUUAGGGAAAAAAAAAUGUGGAAGGAAAUGUGGCCAGUUUGACGGUAACUAAUAAGAAAGCCCCGGCUAACUACGUG
rnacentral:rRNA from 1 species